rnacentral:rRNA from 1 species
GUCUACAGCCAUACCACCCUGAACAUGCCUGAUCUCAUCUGAUCUUGGAAGCUAAGCAGGGUUGGUCUUAGUACUUGAAUGGGAGACCACCUAGGAAUACCAGGUGCUGUAGGCA